rnacentral:rRNA from 1 species
UACGUAGGGUCCGAGCGUUGUCCGGAAUUAUUGGGCGUAAAGAGCUCGUAGGCGGUCUGUCGCGUCGGCUGUGAAAACCUGGGGCUCAACUCCAGGCCUGCAGUCGAUACGGGCAGGCUAGAGUUCGGUAGGGGAGACUGGAAUUCCUGGUGUAGCGGUGAAAUGCGCAGAUAUCAGGAGGAACACCGGUGGCGAAGGCGGGUCUCUGGGCCGAUACUGACGCUGAGGAGCGAAAGCGUGGGGAGCGAACAGG